UCAGCUCAUCUCUCCAUUACACUAUCUCUUGCCAUCACCUCUUGCUCUUUCCAACGGUCUCACUAUAUCUUUCGAUUCCACGCUCUGCUUAUCUUCAACAAUCUCAUCAGUUCAUUCUCUUUUACUCUCUCAAAUGUGCUUUGUUGUUUAACCCUUUUUUUCCCCUCGUUGCAUCGCUCGUUGUCUUUUCACCAUGCGUCGCCAGUAUCGCUCGUCCGUUUUACUGUUGUUGGCUCUCCACAUCGUUUACGAUUCUAAUGCUGAACAGCUGGACUCUGGAGCCAAAGCUCCGCCCCUUCCAUCUCUCUCUGGUUUCCCGCCUCCAGAGCUUGAUGGGCUAGCUGUUGGUGACACCUGCAGGAUUGUUCCUAUUAUUACACCUUUUAUGACUACACCUGUCGUUCCUACACCGUCUCCCCUCACACCCUCCUCAACCUCCUCCAUCUCCCUGACCCCCCACAGCACACCGCCCACGAGGGCAAAGGUGUUGCCAGCCAGACCCACGAAUCCAAUUAACCAAUUGCCAGCCAAGAAACCGACCAAUCAAUCCCCAACCAGGAACCAGGAACCAGGGGUUGCUAAGCAGCCGGCUGCUAGGCAACCAACCACCAACAGCCUUUUGAGGCUGAAAUCCCACCUCCUCUAUUACCUCCUGAUCAAUAGUGGAAGGCCUCAGGCCGGCUAUGUCCCCGGCCUGCCUGCUAAUUGGCUGUUUCCUGGCUACGGUGUGAUGUCACAAAACCUCUAUCCAUAUCAGAGAAAGACUGCACUGAGUCGUAACAAAGGGCAACCUCGGCCUUGCUGCCGGGGAAACUCUGAUUCGGAUUCAGACUCCUCUGAAGAGUCCUGAGGAUGGAGUUCAGGGAUAACUCUCAAAAACGUUUUUAUCCUAGCGUAAUUUUUCGUCUUGUUUAUUUUCACACUUGGUUGAAUUCUUUAGUUUAGGUGUUGUUUAGGCUAGUUUUUAUUCUUGGUUAGGGACUAUGUUUCUGGUAUCGAUAAAGGUCGUUUUCACUAUUGGUUAGGUUUGUUUUAAACUUUUAAGUCUUGUUUAGUUAAUUUUUUUUUCUUGUUUUGGCUACUUUUGGUCUUUGUUCAGGGCAGGCUCGUUUUUCAGUCUUGGUUUAUUUAAUUUUCUGUUUCAGUACCUACAACAGUUAAUUAUUAUUAUAGUAUUAUGCAGGGUACAUGAAAUGUUAUAGGGUUCUUUCACUCUGCUACUCUGGUGAUAAUCAGAAAUACCAAAGCAGAAAGUAACCUUUCUUAAGAAUUUGUUAAUUCACAAGGAUAAAAUGCAUAAAAACAAUCUUUUCAUUGUUUCGUAUGAUUUAAGCACUUAAAAUAAUGUAUUGUUCCCUGAAAGAACCAACCUAAAAAAUAUUUUAAAAAAACGUAAUAAACUUAAUCUAUGUUUCAAA